rnacentral:rRNA from 1 species
UACGUAGGGUGCAAGCGUUAAUCGGAAUUACUGGGCGUAAAGCGUGCGUAGACGGUAGCGUAAGUCGGGUGUGAAAGCCCCGGGCUCAACCUGGGAAUUGCAUUCGAGACUGCUCUGCUAGGGUGCGGAAGAGGGAAGCGGAAUUUCCGGUGUAGCGGUGAAAUGCGUAGAUAUCGGAAGGAACACCAGUGGCGAAAGCGGCUUCCUGGUCCAGCAC